CGGGAUGUGGCUCAAGAGGUAGCACACUUGCCUGGUAUGCAUGAGGCACUGGGUUUGAUCCCUAGCAUCCCUU
rnacentral:tRNA from 1 species